GCGGAGGAAAAGAAAAUAACAAUGAUUUCCCUAGUAACGGCGAGUGAAGAGGAAAGAGCUCAAAGUUGGAACCUGUUUGGCUUAGCUAAACCGGAUUGUAAACUGUAGAAACAUUUUCCUGGUACACUAGACAAAAAAGUCCUUUGGAACAGGGCAUCAUAGAGGGUGAGAAUCCCGUCUUUGGUCUAAGUAGUUGCCUUUUGUGAUAUGUUUUCAAAGAGUCAGGUUGUUUGGGAAUGCAGCCUAAAUUGGGUGGUAAAUCUCACCUAAAGCUAAAUAUUUGCGAGAGACCGAUAGCGAACAAGUACCGUGAGGGAAAGAUGAAAAGAACUUUGAAAAGAGAGUUAAACAGUAUGUGAAAUUGUUAAAAGGGAACCGUUUGGAGCCAGACUGGCUUGACUGUAAUCAACCUAAAAUUCGUUUUGGAUGCACUUGCAGUCUAUGCCUGCCAACGACAGUUUGAUCUGGAGGAAAAAAUUAGCAGGAAUGUGGCCUCUCGGGGUGUUAUAGCCUGUUAUCAUACUCUGGAUUGGACUGAGGAACGCAGUGAAUGCCUUUAGGCAAGAUUGCUGGGUGCUUUCGCUAAUAAAUGUUAGAAUUUCUGCUUCGGGUGGUGCUAAUGUUUAAAGGAGGAACUCGCCCAGUAUAUUUUUUAUUCGCUUAGGUUGUUGGCUUAAUGACUCUAAAUGAC
rnacentral:rRNA from 1 species